CUCUCUUCCCCCUCUCGUACGCUCUCCCUCUUUCUCACCUUCCUCUCACACUUUCAUCUCUCUUUCUCUCUGCACUCCCCAUCUCAUCAUUCACCAUAACAUCCACACCACAGCCUCCACCACCAUCUACAAAUCAAUCACUCGUAAGAGUGAGGGAGUGGCCGAGUGAGAGAAGAUUUGCCGGCGGGAGAGAAGUUCUGGCGAGGAGGAGGAGGAGCUCCGGCCGAGAGAGUUCUUGUGGCCGUUUGUGGUGACACGGCGGUGCUUGGCAACGGCGGCAAUGAAGCUUCUUGCUCCUUCUUUCCUCUGGUUCGAUCUCAAAUUGCUCCAUGGAAGGAUAAGACUCCUCCAUGAAAUUUGAUCUUUGGAUGUCAAUAAACUCAGGUGACUAGAAAAAUCACUAUGACCACAAUUUCAGAAAGAGGCACCUGAUGGAUCUUUCAAGAAGAAGAUUCUGGAUUAGGGGUAUGGCUUAUGUCUAGGGUUAAGCCAUCAGAGAUUUUUUUGAAAUCUAUAUCAAAGGAAGUUACUGGUGUUGAAGUCAUUUACCCAUCAAGGGUAAGGGAAUGGGUAUUUUCCGUAAGAGAAGGAACAAAUGUGAAACAGUACCAAGUAGAUAAGUAAGGUCUUGGAUGCCACCCUUGAAGAUUUGGAGUUUUGAUAUGUGAUUUCUUGAAUCCAUCAUGGGACAAGAGUGAGUAACAUGAAAUUUGAUUUGAGGGUAGUUUUGAUUCAGUUUCAAUUAUUGCUUUUGACCGUGUCGCUUCUACCGUCAAGUCUGCAGUUGAUAUUCAAACACCGGGUGAUCUUAUAACUCUUAUUGCUGCAGCUGCAACAAAAAUGUUGUCGUUUCGUUUUGGCGUGGGCCUGUGAUUUCGAUAUGGAUGCCGGUUGGUUUUACCAGAUUUGCACUAGGUGUGCUUCCAGGAUCAAUUUUAUUGCAGGACAACUCUAUUGUGACAAGUGCAAAAUGCCACGAACAGCGGUUCCUAGGCUUGCACCAAAUGUGCAUCCAAAAUUAAUUUCAUUGGAGGCCAGUUUUACUGUGAAAAAUGCAGGAUGCCAAGAACUGCUAUACCUAGGUUUUUAGGAAGAACUGCACAAGACUUGCUUGAUGCAGCAUUUUGCAGAUAAAGGAUGGAUUUUGAUCUAGCUUGAAGGUUUUGAUCAUCUGUUAUAAGAGUUAUACCGAGACAAUUGAUACAUAGGAAUUACAGUUAUACCUGAGGAACUUGAUUAGUCAUUUUUGUUGAACAACCGUCAACCAACUAGCAACAACCAAAAAACGCACUCACGGAGAUAGCAAAAAAGUGCAAAUUUUGAGGUAACGAGAAAUACAAACGAGAGUUUAAAGAUGGUAAAGGGUUGGAAGGCAAGUGGUGAACAUUCCAUCAUUCAUGGUGAGGGUUGAUUCACAGAAGCACAUUGACUUUUCACUCACAAGUCCUUUUGGUGGUGGUCUUCCUGGUCGUGUGAAGAGAAAGAACGCCAAGGCUGCUGCUAAGAAGGCUUCUGGUGGUAGUGGAGACGAGGAGGAUGAAGAUUAGAUUAUGUGUUUCUGAUACUUAAAUCCUUUGCAUCAGGCUUUUAAUCUCUGUCUUUAUUACUGGAUCACACUAUUAUCAAAGAAUACUGGCCAGAUUUGGUUUUCUCUAAACAUUGGGCUGACACUGCCUCAUAUCUGUACCCUCUUUUUGGUCAUGCUCAUGUAACAAUUUACUUAGGAGUACAGUAAUAAAAUUUUAGAUAUACUGAACCAUAAAAUUUUAGAUAUACUGAAGCUAUAGACCAAUUCAUUCAUGCUUAGGUCAGGUCCAGCAUAACAAAUGAGUCCAAAGCUGAUCCAAAGAUGAAUCCAAUACCAUGAAAUAUAGUGGAUAAAGUGUUUUAGGAAGUUA